UACGUAGGGUGCAAGCGUUGUCCGGAAUUAUUGGGCGUAAAGAGCUCGUAGGCGGUUUGUCGCGUCUGCUGUGAAAACUCGGGGCUCAACUCCGAGCUUGCAGUGGAUACGGGCAGACUAGAGUCAGGUAGGGGAGAACGGAAUUCCUGGUGUAGCGGUGAAAUGCGCAGAUAUCAGGAGGAACACCGGUGGCGAAGGCGGCUUGCUGGGCCAGUUCUGACGCUGAGGAGCGAAAGCGUGGGGAGCGAACAGG
rnacentral:rRNA from 1 species